UUUUUGUUUCUUACUCGUUUGGUUUGAUGUUAAUUUUUUUGUUUAUUUAUUGUGUUAUUAAACUUUUUAUCUUCUCCAUUCAUGUUUAUUUUUCGUUUCUUUUUUUUAACUAAUUUUGUUGUUGGGCAUAUGCAUGACCACUGUUGCUUCUCAUCUCCCUCAUUUUGUUUGCUUUUAUUGUUGGUUUUUAUUGUUGUAUUUUAUUAAUUUUUAGUUGUAGUGUUUUUCUUUUAUCUAUUUUUAUUAUGCUUUUUUAUUUUGUUGGGCCUUCUUUUCGGUUUGGGCUUGUUUUUAGGGUGUUUUAUUUCAUUUUUGGGCCCCGCCCAUUCGGUUAGUGGAGCCUAGCCCAUUGGUUUGCAGUCCAGUCCCCUUAGGGCUUUGUUUCCUUUUUCCUUCCCUGUGCCAAAUAGCUCUUCUUCAUCUUCAUUGUGUUUUGGCUACUUCCUCUAAAAAUCUUUGUUGUGCCGCAACCUUCAUCUUUUUUCCUUUGCAUCUUGUGUUGCCGCUGCUUCUCUUAUUCUUCUUUUCGGUUUCUUUCUUUUUUCUUCUGAAAAUGCUUGUUGCAAGCUGCUCCAUUCUUCUUCUUCGUCUGGAAUGGUCUGAUGUGAGCCUCCAUGCCUGCCUCGUUUUGUCUUCGUCGUUCCCUUAGCAUUUCCGAAUGCAAGCUUGUGAAACUCCAUUUGUAUUUCCACUUUUUCUUCCCCAAAUCCGGCUACCUUGAGUUCGGUUUUGCUCUAUUUUUCAGCCCCUAAACCGUGAGCUUCAUUUGGUUUGCUUGGUUCUGGGCUGUGAUUUUGAGCAACCGUUUGCUCUGAUUUUGAGCAACCAAACAGAGGCUUUGAGGAGGUGAGGCUGCGACAGUGAAAAUGGGUCUGGGUGGAGGUGAAGCUUGGCUUCGGUCUGGGUUGAGCUUGGUGGCAGCAACUUUCGGUUUGCCUUUUGGUUUGAGUAGGCCACAAGCAUGAAGCUCUACAACCGAGCAACUACCAACAGAGAUGAAACAAGGUAGCAGCGGUGCCGAGAAAGAAGUGUAUGAUCUUGCACGGACAGCUUGCACAAAAGUUGAAAAAAAAUAAACAUGGAAAUGAAAUUAGAAUAUACUGUUCAUACUGUAGCUGUGCUAUAGAUAUUAUUAUAGAUAGAUAUUCUCUACAUAAAUAAAAUCCCUCUCUUCCCA